GAUAUAAAUAUUCUACAUUGGUCACAUAAUUAAAUUUAUAAAUGUGAAACAGAAACAAACUUGAGGUUAAUUUUAUGGUCAAAAGCCAGAAUAUAUACAUUUAUAGGGGAACUAGGCUGGAGUACUAUCAGUAGCACCAAGCUAUUGGCACUAUUAAUUUUUUAGCUCUUAGAUUGAAAAAUGGGUGGUUAGGAUGAUGUGGGCCCCCUAGAGUUUAGUUAGUGGUUGGUUGAAUAGUAUAAUCUAACGGGUAAAAAUAAUCAGAAGGUUAAAUCUUACGGUGGAAAACCCGAUAGCACAAAAUUCUUGGUGCUAUUAAUAGUACCCUAGCCGGACUCCUUAUAGGGAGACAUAGAUUUAAUAAGAAGGGCAUGAUU
rnacentral:lncRNA from 1 species